CCCCAUUGCAGCCCCAUUGCAGCCCCAUUGCAGCCCCAUUGCAGCCCUUAUUGCUGGGCUCGCUGUCGCUGCAUCGCGCAGCCCGGCCCACGCUGUGACAUCUCCCCCAGACUCAGCUCCUGGUCCCCCCCCCCACACACCGCUAUGUGGGUACAUGAGGCCAUGGGAUGAUGGUUGGCUCCACCUGGAGCCCCCACCCCGCCCCAACCCCCGGUGCUGACACCCCCCGGCACCGCUCCCACCCCAUUCACUGCGCCCACCAUCCCCACCCCAUGUGCCCUCCUGCCCCCACCCCUCAUACAGCGCCAGGACCCCGGCACAGGGGGGGGGCAUCGCGGUGCCCUCACAUCCCAGAUGGAAGGAGUGUUUCCGAGUGGACGAGCAGCAGCAGUGACCCCCCCCCCCCGACCCCUCCCGACCCGGUUACGCCCCACGCAGUGACACGGACCCGCAGGGACCGCCCGUUCCUCUUUCUGCUCCCAGACGGCUGCAGGCGAGUCGGGGCGCUGGGGUUGGGCGGGGGGCAAACGCACCUUUGGGGACCCCCACCGCGAAGGGCCGGGCUGUGGGCUCCGCUCCUCUGACCCCCCGUUCCCUCGCAGGCGGAGCCAUGGGGCGCCCCAUAGCGAUGCUGCUGCUUCUGCUGCCCCUGUCCCACGGCGUCGGGGCCACCACCUCGCAGCCCGCUCCGCCGCCGUGCCGCUGCGACGUGGUGGGCAGAGCGCUGGACUCGUGCUCCAGCACCGAGUGCUUGUGCUCCUCUAUCAACGGCACCGUCAACGCCUCCGAUUUCCACGCACGGGAAUGUCGUGGCGGAGCGGGGACGGUGGCCGUGGCCGUGGGGAGCAGCGUGGCAGCGGUGCUGGUGCUGCUGGUGGUGCUGGUGUUGGUGUGGAGGUGCCGGAGGACGGCGGGGGCUGCGGGGUGGGGGAAGCAGGAGCCCCCUGCAGCCCACGGGCAGCCCCGCUAUGUCAGCCGGGAAGCGGAGAGUCGACCUGCCGCCCCGGGGGGGUGCGUGGCACCCGACUAUGAGAACGUCUUCAUCGGAUCCAGCGCGGCCCCCGGUGCAGCCACAGCGCAGGACGGAGCGUAUGGGUGGCAGCAGGAGGGGGGCAGCCUCCAGGCACUGCCGGACCAUCCCUAUUUCCUGGAGAGCGACGCAGUGGAUCAGCCCAUCUACGCCAACACCGGGACCCCCGGAGAGGACAUCUACGUCACCCCCGACCCAUAAGGGCAUCGCCCUGCGGGGUUCUGCAGCUCCGGGACUGCAAAAGGGGAUUUUCCUCUUUAUUUUUUAUUGCAACGAGAGCAAAAAAAGGCUGCGCGACCGUUUCCUGCACGGGGCUGAGGGCGGAAGCGGCCGCUUCGCUGUGGGGUUUGAGCUGUGAAAUAUGGGGACGGGGCGAUGGGAUGCGGCUGCCCCGGAGCUCAGCGGGACUGACGGCCCCAAGUGCUGCCGGCGCCGCUCUCUGCGUAACCCGAGAGUUUGGGGUUAAAAAGUGGAGUUUUGGAUGCUCCUGGCAACGCGUGGCUGCGAGGUGAUGCAGAUGGGGGGUGGUAUGGGGACACCCCGCACCACAGCCUCGCACGGGUCCUUGUGAUGCUCUGCGGUGACAUUAAAUGUUGGGCUCUCCUCAGUGACCCAUAAGGCUCGCAGUCUGUCGGAUCCCCCAUGGGGUCCUGGGGGGGGUCCUGUCCCCAAAGCAGAAGUGCCAUAAUAUGGGCCCCAUGCAGGCAGGGUCCUAUUUCCUGGUCCUCUAAGCCCACGUCCCCUAAUGGUGACCCCAUGUCCCACAUCCAUUGAGCUGUGGUCCCCAGAGCCCAUAAUCCCAGGCUGGAGC
ensembl:lncRNA